CCAAAACAUAACGCACUACUUCAACAUUUGUCUUCAUUGUUGUCUCAUCUGAGCCUGAUGUCUGCUGUGUUGACUUUGAGCCCCCCUCAGCCCUCAUCUCCUCCAGGUUCUCUUAAGUGAUCCCUCUUCAUUGAUCCAGACAUCCCCCAUGAAACCACAUCUAUAAAACUGCGUUCAGCUAAUAUGCAUUUGUGUUCAGCGUCUUGAUCAAGUGAACUGUACUACGUGUUGUUUCCAAACGCACAUGGCAAGACCUCCAUGACUGUGCUAACGUUUGUCAUGUGAGCCCCGACUGCUUCUUUAAGUGCAUUAGUGUUAAGCGAUGACGGUAUGUUGGAUUUUGGAGGGUAGGGGUCAAAAAGAAGCAUCAAAUCACAUUCCACUGGAUAAUAAGAAGGAACUAACGUCAACAAAAACACAAGUAUACAUUCAUCGGAUCAAAUGGAACAUUGGCAUCAUUCACAAUCCAAUCUCUACAUCGAAUAACAAAUAAAAUAAAAUAAAAAUCCCAAUAACCGAGAUAUUUGCACAUGCAGUUCACCAACCUGCUGAUGUUGUUUGCCCAAGUCCUGGAAAUGACUUGAAGUGCUUUUAAACCCAACAAGUCACUCCAAUGAUUUAUUCAACCUGGCGUAGACCUUUGGUGGGUGAAAGCACCCGCGGCAGCAAGGUGUGAUAGGCGUGUGGUGUCACGUUUGUGGUACGCCCAUGUUAGUAGCGGCGAAUUGAACGCGUCUCUCCCGGCUUCAUCCUGCAAGGACUGAUGCUCCAGGAUGUUGUCUCGAAGUGGAUUAGAGGAAAUGAGGGGAGCGGCGAGAGGGCGUCUGGCGGUGUCGGUCGGGGCUACAAUCAUCGUGGCUCGUGUCAAGUACACGGUGCCGAUGAAGUGCUAUUUCUUUUCAUCGCUGUGUGUGAGAUGGGCUUUGAGGUGACGCGGCUCAUGUCCAGGGAACCGGCAGCGCACGUGAGAGGAAGGAACUCCUUUCUCAAAUAUUUGUCCGGAGCUCACUGUACAGACCUUCAAGGCGAGAGACGAGGCCUUUUUCACACCGAUGAACAAAUUCUGGCUCUCACAAUAGAACACUUUGGCAAAAGAGAAGGAAUUAAGGACCGACUCCAGUGAGAAGGUGGCGUGCGGAAAAUGGAUGUGCGUGAUGUUUUGAGGGGUGGGGGGAGGGGGGCGCUCCUGCCUCAUGCAGAUGAGUCUCGGAUCACCCCGUGCACUGCUGGGCCGAUCGUGAGCGCAGCCAGGGUACCGAGCGGAUACUUUUUUUCUCAGGCAACCCAGAAAGAUCAAAUGAAGAGUCUAUUUUCCCUGGUGGAGGCAGCACUUCAUCAGUAAAGCUGUCCAAUUACUUGCUCAAUUCAAUUCUGCUCUGCAGCUCCUUUUGGCUUUGGCAUGGUGCUGCUUCCAUGGCUGCACUUGCUGAUUAUUAUGUAGAUUGGCAACUCUGAUGUUGAAAUUGGUUAAAAAGAACAAACAAUAAUAAGAAUAAAUAACACCUGUCCAGAAAUAUGAAACGAAUAAAAACAUUUCCUCGGUUUGACACUAGCGGGGUGAUCAGACUUGAGCUAAUAUGUCCCCUUUGGCUUGGCAGUUUUCGACAUAGUGCGGCAGUCGCAGGGAUGCUGCAGAUGCCGCAGGUUGACACUGCAGCUCUCGAUAUAGGUGUGGCUCCGCUCCCCCCUGAGCACUUUGCCUUAUCUUACGCGUUUCUUUUACGAGCGCGACACCCGGACAUUCACGUUUGUCGCCAAUCAUAAUGUCUUGCGAAAACAAAACCGAAGGCGGUUAGCAGAUUGUUUCCUCUCCCAUUAUCUUGCGUAACUCCAGCAAAAGUCAUUAAAAGGCACACGGCCGCAUGCUUGCGCUUGGCACACAGGCCUCGUUCAUCGCGACCCGGCCUAUUCUAAUAGGAUUUCAACCAAUUAAACGCAAUUAGAUUCCAACCUCGUGCUCCCAAUGUUAUGGUAUUGCCAUCCGCUGGAACUAGAAAUUCAAGCUAAUUGGUCGACGUCAUCUUCAAAUUUCAUAUCUUGGAGACACCUGGCUGACCUCCCAGCACAAAUCCCUUAUUUGCCCCCCUUCUGAUCUUGAGUGCAUUUCAUCCUAAAAAACAAACAAACUGGAUAUCUUCUCACAGAUAUUACAGAAACGUGACACUUGGGCUUCGCAUGGCUUGAUACGGAAUCACGUCGACCCGAGCUUUGAUUUGAAUUUUUUUGUCUGACUACUUGAGCACUGCUUUUUGGGGAAAGAACAACACGAUCCAAUCAACCCUUUGUUCUGAACUUCCGAAAACAAACUGUAUUUCACUCCUAUGCUGCGACUGAUUUUAGACAUGAGGCGCCGCAAACUCUGGACCGGCCGUCAAUAAGUCACGGGGCGUCUGUAGCCCAGCGAGCACCGUUUACAUCUUUUGAGAGUCUUCAAGUGAUGCUAAUCUGAAUGUUUCGGAAACGCUGAGGACAUGGGGCAAACCUACGUAGGCACGGGCGCGGUAUGCUAACGAGAUUCAAACCCUCACCGUGAAAACUGUGAGGCAGAUCUGCAAAGCACUCGCGCGUCAUCGUGCUACCUCGCAUUUGACCAAUCCAGGCAGAAACAAAGAGGGCGUCAAUGAAAUGCUUUUGACCAAAGUGGGCCUUCCUACAGUGCUCUGGAAUCUCCGAAGCUUAUGCGUAACACAGAUUUUGGCUGAAAACACAAAGCAAACAAAAAACCACAGAAAACAUAACAAAUCGAACGGUGACAGCUUGUAACUCGUAAAACUCGCAGGUCAAGGUCCCACUGCCCAGCUGUUGCGACCUUCGGCUUGUUCUGUCACGUGUUGCUAGCGCGAGUCAUUGGCAUGAUUUGUUUGCCGCAGUCUUGACUCUCGAUGCCACCCGCUCUUCUUCUAUCUGAGCCGGGAGGCAAACCCCUCGCCGUGCCCAUGAAAACGGCAGCAACAUUGUAUCAUGCUUCUUUUAGCAUAAAGCCUGCAAGAAUCCCCCCCCCCUACCCCAACCCCAUUCGACCAGACUGCAUCAUCUUUGGAACCGCCUCGAGGCAACCACAACAUGUCAGUAGCUGUGAAGGAAACAGCCAAGAAUGCCCAUUUCAGCCCAUUGGGCAUUUGUUUACUAAAGUGCUACAAGGUUACAGGUAGCGGCUUUAAACGCAUCUUUUUUUUUGGGGGGGGGGGUCUGCUACAGCUGCAGUGUUGAGUGUCCUGAGGCUGCCACAGGAAGCGCGUCUGUGCAGCAGCAGCAGCAGCAGGAGGAGGAUGGCGAGCUUGCCCAGAAGGGAUGAUGACAUCUCUGCAGACGACACACCCAGCGCUCACUGCAGGGUACCCCUGAGGAUAUUGUCCCUGCCCCCCCCACAUCCCAUGACUCACAACCACGCGCAAGAUUCUGCUCAUCCAGACAUGGCACCGACCGGCACGUUUACCACAGGGAGAUCCAGAUCAGGUAGAUGCAGGUUCUCUGAGAUCGUUCUACCCAUCACACGUGGAACUUAAAAUAGGUGUUGGAGGGGGGGGGGGGGAGCUUCCCAAAUGCGAAAGCAUCCCCAUUUGCUCUGACUAAACAUGUCAAGUCCAUUUUGUUCGAAUAACAAAACACACACGAUGCCAUACAUCACGCAGCUCUGGUGGGUCCGAACUCCCGAGGGCGCUAUCGAACCGUUCUCGCUAGUGAACCGAGUUUGAAAGUUCCGAAUCAAUGUAUUAAAGCCAACAAACCUUA